GACUCCGUAGCAUAUGGUAUGUGUCCGCUGCCUUUCAUGGUGAUGAAAAGAAUUCAGCGGAAGAGCCUGGUUCGAAUCCGGGCGGGGUCU